rnacentral:tRNA from 1 species
GGUUGUGGCUCAGCGGGAGAGUGCUCGCCUUGCAUGUGCAAGGCGCUGGGUUCAAUCCUCAGCAUCA